rfam:Tetrahymena thermophila SB210 genomic scaffold scf_8254564, whole genome shotgun sequence.
UAAAUGAUGAUUCAAGAUAGGGACAACAGACUUUAAUUCAACUGUUGACAUAAUCGAUAGUAGAUCCUGAUA